UUGGAGGGCAAGUCUGGUGCCAGCAGCCGCGGUAAUUCCAGCUCCAAUAGCGUAUAUUAAAGUUGUUGCAGUUAAAAAGCUCGUAGUUGAAUUUCGGGAUUAAUAUACCGGUCAUGCCUUGGUAUGCACUGGUAUCUUUGAUUUCUCCCUUCUGACGAACUUUGAUGUCAUUAAUUUGGUGUCAUAGGGAAUCAGGACUGUUACUUUGAAAAAAUUAGAGUGUUUAAAGCAGGCUCACGCUUGAAUACAUUAGCAUGGAAUAAUGAAAUAGGACGUUUGAUUCUAUUUUGUUGGUUUCUAGGAUCGACGUAAUGAUUAAUAGGGAUAGUUGGGGGCAUUAGUAUUCAAUUGUCAGAGGUGAAAUUCUUGGAUUUAUUGAAGACUAACUACUGCGAAAGCAUUUGCCAAGGAUGUUUUCAUUAAUCAAGAACGAAAGUUAGGGGAUCGAAGACGAUCAGAUACCGUCGUAGUCUUAACCAUAAACUAUGCCGACUAGGGAUCGGAUGAUGUUAAUUUUUUAAUGACUCAUUCGGCGCCUUACGGGAAAC
rnacentral:rRNA from 1 species